rnacentral:pre_miRNA from 13 species
UGUCUUCUAAUUGAGUGCUGUUCUAUGGUUAGUUUUUCAGGUUUGCAUCCAGCUAUAUGAUACUCUGUUGUGCAAAUCCAUGCAAAACUGACUGUGGCAGUGAGAAGUCCGUUUCAAAGCC